GCUUCCAUAGCUCAAUUGGAUAGAGCAUCUGACUUCGGAUCAGAGGGUUAGGGGUUCGAUUCCUCUUGGGAGCGCCA
rnacentral:tRNA from 1 species